rnacentral:rRNA from 1 species
UACGUAGGGACCAAGCGUUGUUCGGAUUUACUGGGCGUAAAGGGCGCGUAGGCGGCGUGGUAAGUCACUUGUGAAAUCUCUGAGCUUAACUCAGAACGGCCAAGUGAUACUGCUGUGCUAGAGUGCAGAAGGGGCAAUCGGAAUUCUUGGUGUAGCGGUGAAAUGCGUAGAUAUCGGGAGGAACACCAGUGGCGAAGGCGGCUUCCUGGCCUGUUCUUGACGCUGAGGCGCGAAAGCUAGGGGAGCAAACGGG